UCUAAUCUUGCAUCUACUACUUUUUUAUGCAACUGUAUGAAUUGUGUUCUAUUCAAUUUUAGAUGUUAGAAGCUUUUAAUUUUUUUGGGUUCAAUUUUAAAUGGGCUUGCUUUCAGAGUUUUCGUUUGAUGACAGAGAUGGGGUUUUUGGGGAGAAACUUUUAAUCCGUGAGUUUUUUUAGUUUGGUUGUGUUGUGGGUCUUGAGAAAUGGAUUUCGAUUUGUAAAUGGAUUUUAUAUUGAAAUUGUUUCUCUUCUCAUUUUUUGUGUUUUUUUUUUGUGCCAUCGGGUUUUGCAUAUGGGUGUAUAAUCAGGUUUUCUUUUGAAUUUCAGGGGAUUCAGGUUUUUAUUUUUCUGGAACUUUUGUCUGCAGCUUUGGAAGACAUUUGUGCUUAAGAACCGAAGAGGAUGUUAACAAUAACAUUAUUGUGUGAUAUGCGAUCUAAAGUUCUUUGGAAAAGUUAAGGAUACGAUCAAACGUUUACUGCAAAAGUUGUUGCUCGAAUUUUCCAGUUUUUAUCUGCAGCUUUGCAAGCUCUCUAUCAACAAGGUAUAUAAUUUUUAUUCUUUUUCCUGAAUCGUUUGUUGGAUGGAAUCGUUUUUUUGUUUUUGGUGAGUUCUUCUAAUCACGCAUCUGGUACUGUUUUUUUCCGACUGUAUAGAUUGUGUUUUGUUGAAUUUUAAAUGGUAGAAGCUUCUUGGGUUCAAAUUAAAUGGGUUGUUAUCAACAUCGAAUUGCUUUCGAAGCUGUUUGGCUACUCCUUUAACGCCCUUUUUCCUUUUCUUUUCAGCUUCUUCGAUCUGCAGCCCCCUUCUUUUUUUUCCUUUUCCAGAUUUAGCUUUUUUCCCCUAUAUUGUAUCUUUUGGCUGAUUUUGUGGGUCUUGGUCAGUGCUGUGGGUAUUGGUGAAUUCCUAGCAUGUUUAUGCAUGCAGUUUUUGUUAUAAUGUAUGGAUUGUGUUUUGUUCAAUUUUAAAUGUCAGAAGCUUUUAAUUUUUUUGGGUUCAAUUUUAAAUGGGUUGUUAUCAACCAUUGAAUUUCUUUUGGAGUAUUCAUUUGAUAAGAGAGAUUAUUGGGAAAUUUCUAUCGUGUUUAUGCAUGCAUUUUUUUGUUAUAGAUUUGGAAGAACAUAGCAUUACAAGGUGUUGAGGGUUUGCUGGCAGGGGAAAGUAGCAGCGUUAAGAUUUUGCAAGUGAGAUAUUAGGGUGAGAGAAAAACGGGACAAAGAGCAUCGAAGACGCAUUUGGGAUUAGGGGUAGCAAAACAGGGGAAAAGAAUAUGACAGAGGAAUGGACGCUUAAUUUUUUUCUUAACUGGUUUGGGAUUUUGCUUGCCUUUGGGGUUGUUGGUGUCAAGCCAUUUGGUGUUAAGUGGUGUCUGUUUUUUCAUAACUUUUAUUACUAAUUUUUAUUUCGUUUGCGAUUUUGUGUCCUGGGAUUUCUGAAUUUUAUCGUUCAUUGUCGGUUUUUUUAAUUUUUUUUGUCUUCAUUUGUUUGUUUAAUAUGUUGUGUUUGUGCUGGGACGCCAUUUUGCAAGUUUGCUUUUUACCUAAAACGACUGGAUUUUCAAGAUCCUACUUGAUGAUAUAUGAUCAGUUAUUGAUUUGUAUGGAUUCGUCUCACUUCUUGUUGCUUUGCAAUUGCAAGCCCUGUCAAGUGGGCUCACAAUCAUUCCAAAUUGAGAAGAUAAAAACAGAAUCUAAAUUUGAGAAGAUACAUGGUUGGUACACAUAAAAAAGAAUCUAAAAUUGAGAAGAUACGCUUGCUAAAUUAGUAAUUAGGGAUGAUUUCUACACAUCCGUUUUUAUCUCGUCCCUUUGUUUUUUGUGAACAAACUAGACGAGAAUUAAGGACUGAGCGCUAAGCCUGACAACAUUUAUAUUUCUUCAUAUGUUUCUUUUCUCGUUGAUGGCCAACACAUGAUUCGAAGUUGACGUCUGGACGUACCUGUCAUGAAGCUCCAUGCUAGAAAAUUGUCAAGCCUGCCAUCUGGCUUGAGCGGUCAGAAAGUGCUUUAAGUUCUAUGCACCUCUCUUCUUGUCGGUAGACGGGGCUACAAGCAGUUGUUGAAGGCAGUUGUCUUUCUUUCUCGUGGUGGCACUCUAUUAUCAAAAUUCCUUUUGCUGGCUUGGAGGCCCUAUGUCUUGAUUUUCUCAUCCUUUGGUGGGCUUUUCAAGUCUCAAAUGUUAAGCCUAAAACAACUUAUAUAUUAUUUUAGGGGUGUGAUAUCCACACACCCCAUUUUACUUCU